rnacentral:lncRNA from 1 species
UGUCAUCCAUGUAAGAUGUGACUUGCUCCUCUUUGCCUUCCACCAUGAUUGUGAGGCCUCCCCAACCAUGUGGAACUGUAAGUCCACUAAACAUCUUUUGUAAAUUGCCCAGUCUCAGGUAUGUCUUUAUCAGCAGCAUGAAAACUGACUAAUACAAUACUCCUGUUGGUGGUUCCUGAUCUGAGAGAAAACACAUUGAUGUGGUCCUGCAGAGGCAAGACAGUUAGAGCUUGUGCUCAAUGUCCCUGAACCCCUAAUUGUGAGCCAGCCUUUGACUGGGAAGCAUAUGUUUACUUUAAUAUCAUGGUUCCAUUGCACCCUUUUCCUGCAAUAAUCUGCGGAUGAACAGCAUUAUUAUUUUAGAUCCUGUGAAUCUUCUUUGGCAAUCAGCCCUGUUUGACUACCACUGUCAGUGGGUGGAUGGUAAUCUUACUAGAUUUAUGAGCUCCCUGAAGUACUCUUGAGAGCAGUGUGAAGGGGUGGUAGGCUGAAUAAUGGUUCCCAAGAAAAACCAGGUCCUAAACCCUGGAACUUGAGCAUGUUACCAUGUAUGGCAAAACAGACUUUGCAGAUGUAAUUAAAUUAAGGAUUUUGAAAUGGAGAGAUUAUCCUGGAUUAGCCAGGUAGGCCCAAUGUAAUCACAAUAGUCCUUUGAAGAGAGAGGCAGAGGGAGAUUUUACUACAGAAGAAGACAAUGUGACUCUGGAAGCAGAGGGAGGAAAGACAACUGAUGCAAGAAAGGGGUCACGAGCCAAGGAAUGCAGGCAUAUCCAGACGCUUGAAAAACCAGAGCACAAAUUCUCCCCUAGAGCUUCCAAAGGAACUUGCCUGGUGACACCUUUCAGACUCAUUUCAAGCUGGGCCUCUAACUGUAAGAAAGUAAAUUUCUGUUGUUUAAUGCAAGUAAGUUUGUGGUAAUUUGUUACAGCAGCCACAGGAAACAUGAAGCUAACAUAUAGCAUUUAGCAGACUUCUUUUUAGACUUCAGAUGAUGGUAUUACCGUGGAAGGAGGGUGUCCUCAGAAAGACUUGGAGCUCUGAAGACCACCAGUAAAGCCUUCUGUGCAUGCUGUCACAGAUGCACUAUUGACCUAAUAGAAAAUGUGUCAAAGGACUAGAACAAGCAACUCAAGAAGACAUUUUAAUCACCAAUAAGCAAAGGAAGAAAUGUUUUCCCUGGUGAUAAUCACUAUUAUCAAAGUGUGAUUACAUUUCCAAUUAACUGAAAAAAUUUAGCAUCAGUUACGGCAAGCGUUGGCAUGGAGGAGAGGAAAGAAGAACGUUUAUGUUUUGUCAGUGGGAAUGCAGGUCUGGCAUCCUGGCAGAAUGCGAUUGACCAAUUCUGUCCCCUGUACCACCAACUGGACUCCCUGGGCAGCAUUCAGCUGGCGGCUGGCCUCUUUGCUGAGUCCAAGAUGGCUUCAUUCUCUAGCCUGGGGCCAUGGUGGGCUGGCUGAUGGUCUGAGCUCAGCUGGGAUCCUCCUAUGCUACAGGAAGUCUCAAAAGCUCUCCUCUGUCUCUCUAGCAGUUACGUGGGCUUCUUACCUGAUGGUUUAGGGCUUCAGGAGAGCUACAGGGAGCAAAAACCAUCACUUAAGCCUGUGCCUGGAAACUCACAUGGCCAGGCCUGCAGUAUUCUAAUGGUCAAAACCAUCACUGAUGAUGUCCAGAUUUAAUAGGUAGGGAAAGAGACCCAUUUCUUAAUGUGAAAAGCAUCAAAGAAUUUUCAGCUUUCUUUAAUCUGCCACAAAUGCUAACAAACUUGUGUUCCUUUUCCUCUGCUCACAUGAGAUCAAAGGCAGAUAGUCAGAGAGGAAAAGAUACUGUCACAGGCAAAGCUGUUCAAUAUUUUGAUCAUUAGUCCUACCAGGCAAGUCAACUGCACAGAAAAAAGACAUGACUGGAAUGAUCAUGGGAGAAGCAAGAAAACUACCAGAAGGUGACACAGCAUUUCCAAAGGGACAGCCACCUGAAGCUGGCAUGUGUAGGGUCAGCUAGCCAGAAGAAGGCUGGGCAGCCCUUGAGGGCACAACAGCCACAGUAGAGAGUGAUAAGAAAUGCUCAGCCACGUAUCCAUUUAUUCAACUUAACAUUUACUGAACAUCUACUGUAAACAAAGCACUGAGCUGGUCAUUAUAGACAUAAAGAUCCUUGUCUUCCAAGGGCCUAGAGGCUCCUGGGGAGGAAAGAUGUGGCAAUUGUUAAAUACAGAGUAAGAUGAUAAUGCUAAGAAUUACAUUCUCGGUGAAGACCUUGAGUUAGCAAAAUUACAUUGUACUAACCCAAAUUACUUGAAAAGUGCAAAUAAAUAAAUAAAAAUACAAGUCUUAUAUCUAGUUACCUUUGCAAUGACUCC